GAGAGAGAGAGAGAGAGAGAGAGAGAGAGCCAGCUUAUGUUAUGUUAGCAAGCAAACUUAGGACAACUGCCCACAAAGUACUGCUUGCUGGCAGAGUGCUAAUUUCAAAACGUACUGACAUAUAGACACUUUAUAAACGGAUAACUCCGUCAUUGUAACCAAAAUAUGUCUAAGUUUAUUUGCAAAGCUCAUGUAAGGGGACUAGCAUGUUGCUACUCCCGACAGUAGGCUGCUUGAAACACCAACUAUCAACACACAGGACGAGUUGACCAAUUGCAAUCACACAGGA